GAUAAGAACUCUCCGAAAAAAUUACGCUGUUAUCCCUAAGGUAAGUUAAUCUUAUAAUCAAAAAUUCUGGAUCAAAAAAACAUAAAUUAAUGAAAAAAAUAUUAAAAGUUAAAUAAAUUUUAAUGUCACCCCAACAAAACUUUAUAUUCUAAAAAGUAGUUUUAUAAACAAAAAACAAAAAUUAAUAAAUAAAGUAAACUUCUAUAGGGUCUUCUCGUCCUAUAAAAAAAUUUUAGCUUUUUAACUAAAAAAUUAAAUUCAAAAUAAUUAAAAAAAGAAAGCUUAUUUUUCAUCAAACCAUUCAUACUAGCCUUCAAUUAAAAGACAAAUGAUUAUGCUACCUUCGUACAGUUAAAAUACCGCAGCCUUUUAAUUAAAAAAUAAUCAAUGGGCAGGCCUGAUCUUAAAUAAAAAUCAAAAGACC
rnacentral:rRNA from 1 species